rnacentral:rRNA from 1 species
GGGUAGUAAUUUUUAAACCUAAAGAAUUUGGCGGUCUUUAAACUUACUAGAGGAACCUGUCCUGUAAUCGAUAGUCCACGAAUUUAUUUACCUAUUUUUGUUAUCAGCUUAUAUACCGCCGUUUAGUGGAUUAAAUAAAUAAAUUCCCUUAAUUAAUUAGUUAAGAAAAUCAGGUCAAGGUGUAGCUAAUGAUUAGGAAGAGAUGGGUUACAAUAAUAUAUUAUAUGGAUAUUAUGUUUUAUAACAUGUUUGAAGGUGGAUUUAGAAGUAAAAAUUUUGUCUAUUUGAAGUAAGCUCUUAAAAAUGUACACAU